rfam:Ovis aries breed Texel chromosome 9, whole genome shotgun sequence.
UCCCUGGUGGCUCAGAUGGUAAAGAAUCUGCCUACAGUGCAGGAGAUCCAGGUUUGAUCCCUGGUUUGGGGA